rnacentral:lncRNA from 1 species
AUUUUAUUUAGUGGGUUUCAACUCUUUAUAAAUUUGGUUUAUUUCGGGUAUUCAGUUCCAAACCCAAAAGGACAUGGUUGCCAUUUUAUUGCUCUGUUAUUCCUGUAUAAUAUCAACAGGACAAGAAAAAAAGAAGGAAAAAUGUAAACAGGAGUUAAAUCCCUUCUACUUUAUGUGCUCAAGAGGCUCCUUUCUGUGUCAGUCUUCGAUAAGCUAAAAGUUUCCAGAGUCCUGCAUCACAUAAUUUUUACCUUUGGUCCCCAGAGCAGCAGACACCAGCGUAAGAGGAGACGCCUGCCACUAUCCGUAUUGCUGGUGUGUGAGUUUGAACAUCAAAAUCUAAAGUUCCGAUCCUCUUCUUCAUUAGAAAAGUAUUGAGUGCCUACCUCAAGUUUACCUACACAGAGUUUUUGCAGGUUUAUUAGCCAUAUUUCCGUGAAGAACAAGAAAGUAUGAUUUUAAUGAGCUUUAUUUACAAAUUUAACAUAGCCUGACCAUAUUUGAAUGACUCUGUAACAAGUAAAACCUUUGAUUUAUAAAACAAAUCCUUGCUCACAAAUAGUUGUCAUUGAUAUGCCAGUCUGGAAACAAGAAGAUCCCACACAUACAUACAGGACCCAGUUCUGCAUUUAUGCCCCACACAAUCUCCAUUAACCUCAGAGACCUCAGACUUACAUCAGCGUGAAUGACAUGAUAAGCAAAACAAUAAAAGGAGUUGAAUUUUCCCA